AACCAGCCAAGUAGCGUGAAGGAUGAAGGUCCUACGGAUUGUAAACUUCUUUUAUAAGGGAAUAAACCCUCCCACGUGUGGGAGCUUGUAUGUACCUUAUGAAUAAGUAUCGGCUAACUCCGUGCCAGCAGCCGCGGUAAUACGGAGGAUGCGAGCGUUAUCCGGAUUUAUUGGGUUUAAAGGGAGCGCAGACGGGUCGUUAAGUCAGCUGUGAAAGUUUGGGGCUCAACCUUAAAAUUGCAGUUGAUACUGGCGUCCUUGAGUGCGGUUGAGGUGUGCGGAAUUCGUGGUGUAGCGGUGAAAUGCUUAGAUAUCACGAAGAACUCCGAUUGCGAAGGCAGCACACUAAUCCGUAACUGACGUUCAUGCUCGAAAGUGUGGGUAUCAAACAGGAUUAGAUACCCUGGUAGUCCACACGGUAAACGAUGGAUACUCGCUGUUGGCGAUAUACUGUCAGCGGCUUAGCGAAAGCGUUAAGUAUCCCACCUGGGGAGUACGCCGGCAACGGUGCAACUCAAAUGAAU
rnacentral:rRNA from 1 species